UACAGAGGGUGCAAGCGUUGUCCGGAAUUACUGGGCGUAAAGGGCGCGUAGGCGGCUUGAUAAGUAGGAGGUGAAAUUCCAUGGCUCAACCAUGGAUCGGCCUUCUAGACUGUCAGGCUUGAGCACGGUAGAGGCAGAUGGAAUUCCCGGUGUAGCGGUGGAAUGCGUAGAGAUCGGGAAGAACACCAGUGGCGAAGGCGGUCUGCUGGGCCGUUGCUGACGCUGAGGCGCGACAGCGUGGGGAGCAAACAGG
rnacentral:rRNA from 1 species